UUGCAAAAAUAAAAGACAUGCUCAAAUUUACUAUUGAGUUUCGAAAUAAUAACAAAACUUGGCACUGGAAUAUUUUCUUUUUUUAUUUAAUUAUUUUUUAACUCCUAUCAAAUCAAAUGUAGCAAUAAAUGCAUUCUCUCUAACAUCCGAAUGAACUCUAACAUUUGGAUAUCAAACCCUAACCACCGUUUCUCACCGAUUUCUCUUUCAGACAUGCACUCGAUUCCAAUUGCAAUGGCUAUUAGCAAGUGUCUCUCCGAAUCAUUCCCUCUUCAACUCCGGCAAAUAGCAGCAUCUCCAGCUCCGCCUUCUCAAUAUCCAUGAGUAUGAGGGGCUGAAUUGAUGAGCAAAUACGAAUCAUAGUCGUUUCCUCUGUUGAAGAAGCGAAAAAGGGGUUGUCUUCCCUCAUGAAAUGAGGAACUUUUAAAAGUGGUCUUAAGGGAGGAGUGUUCAUGUGAAAACUGACUGGGUUAAAGACAUGAUUGGUACUGCAUAUCUCCUCUGUUAUCCCUCAAAUUUGAAAAUUCCUUGUCGUCAAUUUAUGCCCUUGGCUUUUUAUGUAACACUCAAGGAAUACAUAUCAUGCUUAUAAGUAUUAAUUUAACCAAUUUAAAUUAUUAAUUGAGUUCAGGAUGCAAUAAUUGGAACUUAUAUCAUGUGUUAUUUACAGAGCGAUUAGAUCAAGACACAAGUGGAUUCUUAAACUAUAUGCCAUAAUUUUUUCCAUUAUUCAUGUAUUUCAAAAUAGGCAGAUUCUUGUCCACUAAGUGGCUCCAUUGGCUCUGCCUUUUUACACAUGAAUAAGAAUGGUGUUAAUGGUAGUGGUUAUCCAUACAAGAAUAUGUUCUCUUUUGUGCCAUUUUGGGGAAAUUUUUACUCCUCAUCACCCUUUAACUUGUUUACUUCAGUUUUUUAUUGUUGUUGGUAACUUGGUGUUAAUGUAGAAAAGUCAGGCUUGUGAAAUUUUAGUUUAAAUUGACAUUUGAAAAGAAUAAAAAAACAGAGAAAAUGAAAUGAAGAU